GUAGGGCGGGCUUUCUUCCAAGGACAACGGAGAUUGUUUUGUGGCUUCUCUGGCUGGGUGUUUGAGCGCGGGUGGGUCUCGUCUAUGCAGGAACAAUCUGUUAGACAACAAAAAAAAUUCAACUGAGUAAAUUUAAAGAUCAAAUUGCCUUAUUAAACCAUUCAUGAAUCGGGCAGCACCCCAUCUAGCAAGCACAAAGGAGCUCGGCUGAGCUGCAGAAAAGGAAAAGUCUGGAAAGGCAGAGAGGACGCAGAAAAAAGGAAAUUAUUCAAAGAAUGCAUUGUUUUAGGCAAGGUUGCCCUCCUAGAGGAACAGAAGGGGUCAAGUCAGUGGAUGACCUCCUGGUGCUGACCAGGACGUUCCGGGUUAGGUCCCGUUCCCAAGAUGGCUGAAAGUGCAGUUAGGCUGGGUAUUAAGGUUUGAUGGAGCUUAGCAUAAGUGACUCCAUUUUGGGCCAGUAGUCUCCUUUUUAACAAUCCCCCCUUCUUGCAGCUUAACUGAGAGAUGUGGUCAAAAUUUAAGGCAUUGGUGCCACUCUCAGCUACCGCUUUGUAGCUCUCACAGCUUUUGUGACAUUUUGUUGAUCCUUUGUGUGGUAUUCACAGGUCGUGAUGCUUUUUUACAGCAUCUCUUGUGAAAUUUUGUUGAUCCUUUGUGUGGUAUUCACAGGUCAUGAUGCUUUUUUAUAAUAUCUCUGUAAUAUUCACAGGCCACGACUUCAGGUUCAAUUUUUAAAUCAGUUGUCCUCUUCGUCCCUUGUCUGAUGUUUCAGUCUUAGGUCAUUUGCUUGGCAGUUCGCUGCGAAGGUGCACUGAAAGCCUUUGAGAGAACGCAGCACACCAGGGAGACUAUGAGGAUUACAAGCAGGCUAAUUCCCCGGUUUGGAGGGCACUUUGGAGGCAUGGUCCCCAAGACCCAAACCAAUUAAAGUCAAAUAAGUCAAAGAAAGAUCCCGUGGAAGGAGACACCUUUUUAGCCAAGCAGCUUGCUCAGUAAUCAUAUGUGAGCCACUUCCCCCAGAAGUGUUAAUCCAGGUACUGCAGGUGGUGUUGGCCACAGCACAGACACCUCCUUGCUCGGCUAGAAGAUAAUCAAAGGCUAGCCUAUUAUCAAGAACUACUUUGGCGAGAGAGUCUAAGAUCUUUGUUGGGCAGCUAUUGUCUUAGUGGAGUCUGCAAUAUCUUCAAGAGUUAAGGAGAAGUUUCUGAUUGUAUUCUUAUUUACAUUUUCUUCUAACCAGGGAAGUAUGACCCUGCCAAAGGAAACAAAUCCUGAGUCAUGAAUGCCUCCUGGUUGCUGCCUCCGCAUGGCUAAUGAGUGGUAUAGGUCCACACCCGGGAUCUGCACCCUCGAACCCAGGCUGCCAAAGUGGAACAUGCCAAACUUAACUACUACGCCACAGGGCCAGCCCAUGUGCUGCAAUGAAUUAUCCUGUUUUCAAAAUGUGGUUCACUUGGACCCAGGCGAGGCUGGGUUGGCGCGACGAG
rnacentral:lncRNA from 1 species